CCCUUAGAUGUUCUGGGCCGCACGCGCGCUACAAUGGUCUUCGCAAACGGAUGCAUUCUCGAAGGAGAAUGCCAAUCUUGGAAUCUAUGCCUUGGUCGGGACAGUUGCUUGCAAUUUUUCGACUCGAACCAGGAAUUCCUUGUAAUCGUGAUUCAUCACAUCACGAUGAAUACGUCCCUGCCCUUUGUACACACCGCCCGUCGCCCCUACCGAUCGAAGAGUUAGGUGAAUUGUUUUGAUCGAUAAGAUUUGACUAUGGUCAACUCUCGUUGUGAAAUUCUGUGAAUCUGACUGUUUAGAGGAAGGAAAAGUCGUAACA
rnacentral:rRNA from 1 species